rnacentral:rRNA from 1 species
AUGGAUUUCAUCAGCAUUUCAAAAUCCGUCUCGCCAUCUUCUUCCCUGCGAAACCCCACUCCGCCGGCGGCCCGCAUCGCCGCGUCCGCCAUUCCCACCCUCCCCCUCCCUUUCCCCGAACAACCAGACCCCACUUGCACCGUGGCGGCAUCAGCAUUCUCUCCUCCCCAAGUCAAGUCUUCUCAAAAAACCCCAAUCCAACCACCGGCCAGGGCGGAAACCGUCGCACUUUAUUUAUACCCGGUCACGCGCUCCACCACGGCGACCCCGACGGCUCCCCCCUCCCCUCCGCCCGCUCCUAGCUCUAAGCGCCGCCGGAAGACUGACCCCGCCGCCGGAGCCACGGGGAACUCGCCGCUGCGCGGCGGCGGGAGAGGCGGCUCGCCGGCCUCCUCCGCCCCGCGCCGCUCUUCGCCUGGGCUUACAGGGCCGCAGGGAGGGUUUGACCCGCUCGACCCCAACGCGGAUCCGCCGGCCUGGGUCCUGAUGCCGGGUCAGGUGAAGCACUGCAAGACGGCGCUCAAGGUGCUCGACAAAAAGCUCAAGAAGCCGGCCGCAAUAUUCGACGACUUUAGAGGCCUUCCGGCCAUAAGAACAUCGCUCCAGUCGGCUCAGAAGUUUACUGUGGCUCGAAGUCCUGCUAAUAGGGAAAGGAACCGCUACACUGAUGUCUUGGCAUUUGAUGAAACCAGGAUAAAGCUGCAGUCCUCAACAGGCAAUCAGACUUCAAGUAACGAUUACAUCAAUGCAAGCCUUAUAAAGUAUGAUGACAAAGAUCAGACAAAGUUCAUUUCUACUCAAGGUCCGCUAGUCAAUACAUUCGAAGAUUUUUGGCAGAUGGUCUUUGAGAACAGCUGUCCUGUAAUUGUCAUGCUCACUAAAUUUGACAUUGUGAAGUGUGAUGAGUAUCUUCCACUGAGCAAGGGGCAAGGAGACUAUGGAAGAUUGAACAUUAAAAUCAUGGAGACCAGACAAGAUGGGGAAUUAACAUUGCGCAGUGUGAAGGUGCAACAUAACGAGUCAGAUAGAGUGCAUACUGUUCUCCACAUCCAGCACUCCACAUGGCCUGACCAUGGUGUGCCAGAUGACAGCAGUACUGUACGGAAGAUUCUAAAAAGAUUAUAUUAUGUUUCUAAAGAGCACCCAGUUGUUGCACAUUGCAGUGCAGGCAUUGGGAGAACUGGUGCUUACAUUACAAUCCAUAAUACAGUAGAGAGGAUAUUACGUGGUGAACAAGCUGCUACAAAUCUUGCGGAAACUGUCGGGAAGUUUAGAUCCCAGAGACCUGGCAUGGUCCAAACAGAGGAGCAAUACAAGUUCUGCUAUCAUGCAAUUGCAGAUGAGCUGAAAGAUCUGAUUAGGAAUUCAAAGCACUGA